rfam:Desulfurococcus kamchatkensis 1221n, complete genome.
GGGCCCGUCGUCUAGCCUGGUUAGGACGCCGCCCUUACAAGCCCGGUUUGAGAGAGGCGGAGGCCCGGGGUUCAAGUCCCCGCGGGCCCA